CCGCAUCCCCGGGGGAGCGCUGUGACGGCGCUUGAGAGGGCGGCACGAGCCGUCGACCCGCUGAACCUGAUCCGGUUAAGACCGGCGGAGGGAGGGAAGCGGUCUUCGCC
rfam:Altererythrobacter atlanticus strain 26DY36, complete genome.